rnacentral:rRNA from 1 species
CAGUCGCCGCGGUAAUACGUAGGGUGCAAGCGUUAAUCGGAAUUACUGGGCGUAAAGCGUGCGCAGGCGGUUAUAUAAGUCAGAUGUGAAAUCCCCGGGCCCAACCUGGGAACUGCAUUUGAGACUGUAUGGCUAGAGUGUGUCAGAGGGGGGUAGAAUUCCACGUGUAGCAGUGAAAUGCGUAGAUAUGUGGAGGAAUACCGAUGGCGAAGGCAGCCCCCUGGGAUAACACUGACGCUCAUGCACGAAAGCGUGGGGAGCAAACAGGAUUAGAUACCCCAGUAGUCCCUGUCUCUUAUAC